UACGUAGGUGGCAAGCGUUGUCCGGAUUUACUGGGCGUAAAGAGCGCGCAGGCAGUCGUUCAAGUCGCGUGUGAAAGCCCCCGGCUCAACUGGGGAGGGUCACGCGAUACUGAUCGACUGGAAGGCAGGAGAGGGUAGUGGAAUUCCCGGUGUAGUGGUGAAAUGCGUAGAUAUCAGGAAGAACACCCGUGGCGAAAGCGGCUCUCUGGAACGGUACUGACGCUGAGACGCGAAAGCGUGGGGAGCAAACAGG
rnacentral:rRNA from 1 species